UACGUAGGGUCCGAGCGUUGUCCGGAGUUACUGGGCGUAAAGAGCGCGUAGGCGGCCAGAUAAGUCCGGUGUGAAAGUCACAGGCUCAACCUGUGAAUGCCGCUGGAAACUGUCUGGCUAGAGUCCGGAAGAGGAGAAUGGAAUUCCUGGUGUAGCGGUGAAAUGCGCAGAUAUCAGGAGGAACACCGGUGGCGAAGGCGGGUCUCUGGGCCGAUGACUGACGCUGAGGAGCGAAAGCGUGGGGAGCGAACAGG
rnacentral:rRNA from 1 species